rnacentral:rRNA from 1 species
CAGGAAGAAACAGUUCUACGUGUAGAACCUUGACGGUACUGUAAGAAUAAGGAUCGGCUAACUCCGUGCCAGCAGCCGCGGUAAUACGGAGGAUCCAAGCGUUAUCCGGAAUCAUUGGGUUUAAAGGGUCCGUAGGCGGUUAGAUAAGUCAGUGGUGAAAGCCCAUCGCUCAACGGUGGAACGGCCAUUGAUACUGUCUGACUUGAAUUAUUAGGAAGUAACUAGAAUAUGUAGUGUAGCGGUGAAAUGCUUAGAGAUUACAUGGAAUACCAAUUGCGAAGGCAGGUUACUACUAAUGGAUUGACGCUGAUGGACGAAAGCGUGGGUAGCGAACAGGAUUAGAUACCCUGGUAGUCCACGCCGUAAACGAUGGAUACUAGCUGUUGGGCGCAAGUUCAGUGGCUAAGCGAAAGUGAUAAGUAUCCCACCUGGGGAGUACGUUCGCAAGAAUGAAACUCAAAGGAAUUGACGGGGGCCCGCACAAGCGGUGGAGCAUGUGGUUUAAUUCGAUGAUACGCGAGGAACCUUACCAAGGCUUAAAUGUAGUUUGACCGGUUUGGAAACAGAUCUUU